rnacentral:rRNA from 1 species
GACGAACGCUGGCGGCGUGCUUAACACAUGCAAGUCGAACGGAAAGGCCCUGCUUUUGUGGGGUGCUCGAGUGGCGAACGGGUGAGUAACACGUGAGUAACCUGCCCUUGACUUUGGGAUAACUUCAGGAAACUGGGGCUAAUACCGGAUAGGAGCUCCUGCUGCAUGGUGGGGGUUGGAAAGUUUCGGCGGUUGGGGAUGGACUCGCGGCUUAUCAGCUUGUUGGUGGGGUAGUGGCUUACCAAGGCUUUGACGGGUAGCCGGCCUGAGAGGGUGACCGGCCACAUUGUGACUGAGAUACGGCCCAGACUCCUACGGGAGGCAGCAGUGGGGAAUAUUGCACAAUGGGCGGAAGCCUGAUGCAGCAACGCCGCGUGCGGGAUGACGGCCUUCGGGUUGUAAACCGCUUUCGCCUGUGACGAAGCAUGAGUGACGGUAAUGGGUAAAGAAGCACCGGCUAACUACGUG